GGCAAGUCUGGUGCCAGCAGCCGCGGUAACUCCAGCUCCAAUAGCGUAUAUUAAAGUUGUUGCGGUUAAAAAGCUCGUAGUUGGAUUCCUGUCUUCGGCCGGGCGGCUAAUGGUUUAGGCCGUUAGACUGCUUUUGGGUCCGGGUGUCAAAGCCUGGGCCCUUUAACGGCCGGACAAUACCACCGGAGGUGCGGGGAUAGUAGUCGGCUCUCGGGCGGGCUAUGACGACCGCACCAAUAUAACAGUCCGAGGUGCCCUUAACAAGGUGUCUCGGGCGGCCGGUAACGUUUACUUUGAACAAAUUAGAGUGCUCAAAGCAGGUACUUCACUGCCUGAAUAUCACAGCAUGGAAUGAUGGAAUAG
rnacentral:rRNA from 1 species